AUUGAACGCUGGCGGCAGGCUUAACACAUGCAAGUCGAGCGGAGAGAGGUAGCUUGCUACUGAUCUUAGCGGCGGACGGGUGAGUAAUGCUUAGGAAUCUGCCUAUUAGUGGGGGACAACAUUUCGAAAGGAAUGCUGAUACCGCAUACGUCCUACGGGAGAAAGCAGGGGAUCUUCGGACCUUGCGCUAAUAGAUGAGCCUAAGUCGGAUUAGCUAGUUGGUGGGGUAAAGGCCUACCAAGGCGACGAUCUGUAGCGGGUCUGAGAGGAUGAUCCGCCACACUGGGACUGAGACACGGCCCAGACUCCUACGGGAGGCAGCAGUGGGGAAUAUUGGACAAUGGGGGGAACCCUGAUCCAGCCAUGCCGCGUGUGUGAAGAAGGCCUUAUGGUUGUAAAGCACUUUAAGCGAGGAGGAGGCUCUUUUGGUUAAUACCCAAGAUGAGUGGACGGUACUCGCAGAAUAAGCACCGGCUAACUCUGUGCCAGCCGCCGCAGUAA
rnacentral:rRNA from 1 species